AGUAAGAGAGCAUAGCAUUUUAAACGUGGUUACAAAUGUGCAAAUUGCAGGUGUGAAAAAACUUUGGCGUGGUAGCUCAUCAAACCACCAAUCUUCUUGUUAGUUGAGGACCCACUGUACUUUAUAAGGAGCAGCAGCCCAAUAAGCCUGAAACUGCAGCAGUUUCAAAUGGAUCCGAUGGAAGAGCAAACCAUAUGGACUCGCUCCACAGUCAUUUAGCUGCUGAGCUGGACUGACUCACAGCAGAUGAUCAUGAGGAAGCUGUUGUAGACAUGUUUCCUUCUCAUGUGUCCUCUUCUGCAGACACAAAUACAUAGUAGGUUGCAUUAACUCUUCACUGACUUAUUUUUUCCUUUCCUUUAUUAUCUUGCCAAACAGAAGGCCUUUCUCACGCAGAAUCCUUGAUUUUCUUGGAUAUUUCAAGUCUUCAUAAUAAAUUUCUUAAACAUUUCUCCCCAGAACUGGAUGCAGAUCUGAUAGCUUUAUGGUGAGAAAAAAAAGCCAAUCCAGCCCACAAACAGACCAUUUGUGUGUAGGCUAAGCCACAAUACUGCCUGUCAAACAGUGCAUGAAAGUUGUCACGCCUUGUUGAUUUUAUUGUACUCUAUUCAUGUGUUUAUAAAUCCCCUGAUACUCACAGUAAUCAAUAACCUUCCCAGGAUCCACUGUAUCUGAUUAGGCAAAAUGACAUUAUGCAAGCGUGCCUCUGAGUGUUAUUGAUCUAUAACCUGAAUAUUGCUUGAAGGGUUGAAGAGGAUUUUUAUCUAACACACUUUCUGGUGAUUUCCUUUGUCUGUAUAGCGGCCUAUUUAGGGUCCUGUGCAAACGCACCAUAAGCCAACAUUAAGAUGGUGCUGAGGCGUCCGGUAGUGUUUGCUAAAGUGUUAGCAUUAGACAGUGUGCAGGUAAAACAGCCAUCAGUCAGUAUUAUUUCCUACUUUGUUACCAUUCGUGUGCUAACUGAAUUUUAAGCAUUUCUUUAAUAAGAAAGCAGAAAAUUUUCCAGUCAUGGUAGCCAAGCGCAGGAAAGAAUGACAAGGAGGCUGGUCUGACUCGUCAGCCACUGAUUGAACACACCUGGGGAGGCCAGGAGUGCUGAGACAUGCUCGAACGGGUGAAUUGAUGUGUUGUUUUGGGCAGCUUGCCAAUUAGGAACUUUGCAUCAUUUUUAUCCGAAAGAAAAGAACAUAACAGUAUUUAUAAUGAGAGACAAAUAAGGCCUAUGUAAUAUUAUAUAUUUAUUCAAAAAGGUUGGCUAGUCAGUGCUGUCAGUCAACCGUGAUUGCACUCAGGCCUUACACAUCUGUGGCUCAGUUAACCAUGGAAUAUGGACUUUGCCAAGCCUUCGCAGCUAUCAAUUCUCCAUGUGGGUGUUGUAUAUUGGAUAACGAUGAUGUGAAGAUGUUGAAAGAGAUCUCCGCUGACACCGUCUUGCUUGCAUUAAAAGGUUUAUUACAAAGCAGCCCAGCAUAAAUUACAUGCAUAGGACGACCCCAGUGUGCAUCCAAUUGGUAGCCAGUCUGUGACAGAGGUUCUGUCUGGCUCA